UGCCAGCAGCCGCGGUAAUACGGAGGGUGCAAGCGUUAAUCGGAAUAACUGGGCGUAAAGGGCAUGUAGGCGGAUAGAUAAGUAAGGUGUGAAAGCCCUGGGCUCAACCUAGGAACUGCAUCCAAAACUAACUCACUAGAGUACGAUAGAGGGAGGUAGAAUUCAUAGUGUAGCGGUGGAAUGCGUAGAUAUUAUGAAGAAUACCAGUGGCGAAGGCGGCCUCCUGGAUCUGUACUGACACUGAGGUGCGAAAGCGUGGGGAGCGAACAGGAUUAGAUA
rnacentral:rRNA from 1 species